ACUUUGCUCAGCGGGUCUCCGAGGUUUCUGCAGGGUGGUGUGGAGAAGUGCCCUUCUGGGGAGCUUUUCUGCCCCUCGACAGGGUUUUGGAGUUGGAAUCACAGGGGCCAAUAACUCUUCAACGGCAGCACUUUGGAGGUCGCUCCUCCGCCGAGGACUUCGAGGAAUCCUUCAUCUCCCCGAACAUUCAAAGUUCUACAGGUGAGGCAACUUAAGCACAGGGGAGUGAAGAGAUUUACCUGACACUGUUUAAAGGGGGACUGGGCUGCAACUCUGGUCUCUUGACUGCCUGUCAGACAUUUUUCCAUUACCUCUCGAUGCCUUACUAAAUGCCAUGAGCUAGUUACUCCUUUUCCAACAACAGGGGCAAUUGGGUUUUGAUGCUGUGCCAGAAAUCUUCUGACAAUGAGUUACUGGAACUUGGAGAAAAGGAACUGUGUGCAGUACCGCAGGCACUUUCUGGUGGACAACAGUCUGUUUCAUGGUGA
rnacentral:lncRNA from 1 species